rnacentral:rRNA from 1 species
GUACACGCUGUGACUAGCAUAUCAAUAAGCGGAGGAAAAGAAACUAACAAGGAUUCCCCUAGUAACGGCGAGUGAAGCGGGAAGAGCUCAAAUUUGAAAUCUUAAAGGGUUUCCCUUUACGAAUUGUAGUUUAAAGAAGUGUUUUCUGUUGAGGUUUUGGUAAAAGUUCUUUGGAAUAGGACAUCAUAGAGGGUGAGAAUCCCGUAUUUGACCUUUACUUUCAACUUUGUGAUACACUUUCAAAGAGUCGGAUUGUUUGGGAAUGCAGUCCAAAAUGGGUGGUAAAUUUCAUCUAAAGCUAAAUAUUGGCGAGAGACCGAUAGCGAACAAGUACCGUGAGGGAAAGAUGAAAAGAACUUUGAAAAGAGAGUUAAACAGUACGUGAAAUUGUCAAAAGGGAAGCGUUUGACACCAGUGUUGUUUUUCUGAAAAUCAAUUAAAGAACUGUUUAUGCUAAGUUGUUUAGACUUUAUCAGCUAUCUGUUUAGUUUUGAGCUUUUCUUUAAUGCACUUUUCAGUUAACAAGUCAACAUCAAUUUCUUUUGCUGUAAAAAAGCUUGAGGAAGGUGGCUUGAGAUUCGUCUUAAGUGUUUAUAGCCUCUUGCCUAUGCAGUCGGAGAGAUUGAGGUCUGCAGCGUAGAUCCUUCGGUGGCUAAAUGCAUUUGUGCUAAGUUAUAGCAUUUUAUAGACAACUUGUUGACUAUGAUUUGUCUUGUAGCUUACUCGCUUAUGUUAUUUUACCUACGCUUAGGAUGUUGAAGAUGUAGCACAUCAU